UUUUUUAAUCUCAUGCGUUGGUUUUAAUUACCAUGCUUGUGCCGCGUUGACUCAAGUCUAUCAUGGUACGCGCGCUGGUGGCCACUUGAUUUGUCACCUCAAUUAAUGAGGGAGAUCAAGUGGUCCAGGUUUUUUCUGAUUAUUUGAAUUUCAUUUUAAUUGCUUUAUUUUCGUUAAUUCAUAUUAAUUUUAAUAUUGAUCCAAAAAAUAUGAGAGUUUCACCAAAAAAAUUCAAAUAAUUCCCUCUUUCAUAUUUUGAAUUAAAAUUAUUUUUUGGAUCAUUAUUAAUAUUUUCAUGAUUUAAUUGAUUUUUCAUUUGUUUUUAAUUGUUUAAAAAUACUUUUAAAUCUUUAAAAAUUCUGAAAUUUUUUCUCCAAGGUCCUUUGACCUUGUUUGACCCAUGAUAAAUCUCAUGGCCAUUUAUUUGAUGUUUUGAUUAGGUUUUAGGAAUUUGACAAACCAUAUUCAAUUUAAAUGUAUUAUUUUAGUAUUUUUAAUUUGAAUAAAUGCCAAAUAAUUUUGUUGACCAAUUGUGAUGACUUGUUUGUGUUUGACUCUUGUUGUUGGGCCUUCGGUCAAGGUUGAUUUGACUUUGUCAAGUUAAUAUCAUUGGAUUUAGGGGAUUGAUGGAAUGUACAUUCCAUCUCCUAAAAUAAAUGGAUGAUAUUAAUUUGUAAAAGUCUUCCUUUGAUAAAUUUGAGUUUUCAUCUAUUCCCCUCCCACUUCAUCUCAUUCCCCUUCUUUAUGCAUUCAUCCCAUUUGGCCUAUGAUAUCUCAAAGUCCUAAAGCUAGUUGAUUGAAAAAUUAACAUGAGUAUGGAUGAGAAUAGGCCACACCUUUUGCAUAUUCUUUUGUGUGUGGUAUGUUUCAUGAGCAUAGUCCAUAAUACUAUGUCUCUAACAUGCCAUUAACACCAAAAUUCUAUUGCCCGACCUCAAAUAGUUGUGACUUCUGCAUAAGUCCAAUUACGAUUGCUUAACAUAGCGCUAAAUCCGGUGACAUAAAAGGCAUAGCAUUCUAGUUAGUGAGAUUGUAAGUCUCCCCUCUUUCAUGGUAUUGUGUGGAAACUUGGCCUUUUUUCCUUCCUUUGGAAGAUGUCUUGGUUCAAGGAUUCAUGCUUGUGAUAAGUGGGUUGAGUGUUCUCCAAAGAAUGUCUAAAAAUGAAAAGAAAAAGCAAAAUAAUACUAACUUCUAACCUAUUAACAACUAACUUUUAAUUUCAAGCCAUUUACUUUAAUGUCAUUUAAGUCUAGCUUUUAUACAUUUGCCAUUGUUCAUAUCAUUCUAAUUAUUUAUGUUAAUGCAAUUUUCACUUUGUCCACUUGGACCAUAUUGUGUGAUAUUCCUUGUGUGUAUACUUUGCUUGUUUGUGUGGUCUUUGAGCAUUAAUGUACAUAAUAACAACAAAAACCCUAAAAUAACUUUUGUGUGGACUGUUGGCUUAAUCUUGGACAAAUGGACUUAGAACUUAGGCAACACUCCUAUGCUAAAGGACUUGGCCAAUGCCAACUUGUUGAGAAACCAAGUGCUUGCAAUUUGAAACUUCAUCUGAUACAUCAUUCAAGAUCCCUUUGAGUUCAUCUACAACAUGAUCAUUGUGAAGUUGUUAUUUUGAACCUGUGACUUGUGGAAUUCAUCUGUUACAUGUGCUAUUUUAAAGAAGAUCAUGGAAUGGCAAAAGCUUGGAUGUGGCUAUCUUUAUUUGAUGCCUAUGCUCUUCAAUAUAAUAUAAUUGUGCAUUUGUGUGUUGCUUGAUUGUAAAAGUCUAAGGGAAUUCUGGGUUUCUAUUGAUAUUCUUGUCUAUGGGAUAGCUACCCAUUUGGUCAGAUCUUUUCAACUCUCAACUUUUAAUUUUGUGCAUAGGAUUAGUCUCUUCAUCUUCUCCCCAAUUCUUUAAUUUCAAAAUCUCUCCCUCCCUUUUCAAAAUCUUCUUUGAUUGAACUUAUUUUGUUCUAAACUUUGACCACUUUGCAAAAAAGAUAGAAACUUUGGCCUUAUGCCAUUGCAUUCUCAAACUUCUUUUCUUAAAUCAAACUUGUAAAUAAACUUAACCAUACUUGACUUUAACUUUCAAAAAAGCCAAAAAGAACUACCUCAUUCAAACCAUUUUUAGGCCUUUGUGCCUUUCAAACUUAAUUUCUAUUAAAAUCAAUGCAUCCACUUUAAAAUUUGUAUCACGAACUACGAGGUUUUGAUCCCUCAUUUUUAUGUUGGUACGUAGGCAUAAGACCGAAGGUCUUGCCAAACACAAAAAUAUAUUUAAUGAAUUCUUUUCUCAUCCCCCAUUCUAUUUUGUUUGUAAACAUCAUUUUAUACAAAAUACAUAUGCACACAAAAAGGGCUCUCUAGGAGUACCUAGGACACUUUGGGUGUUAACACCUUCCCUGUGUAACCAACCCCCUUACCUGUAAUCUCUGACAUUUUAUUAGUUUUAAUUUGAAAACUUUUUACUUUUGGGUUUUGUUCGUACAUUUUCCCUUUUCCCUUGGAAACAAUAACAGCGCGGUGGCGACUUUUGUUAUUUGAUCUCUAGCUUAUCCAUAGCUUGAUGAUCAUGAAAUUACCGCUACAAAAUGAUCGUGAAACAAAUAGGUCAACUUUUAACUAAUAAAAUUAAUUAAUUAAAAUUCAAUUAAGCCAUCUAAUUAAGGUAAUUAAAAUUAAUUAUCAAAAUUAUUCAAUUAAAAAUUAAUGUAAUCAAAUAAUUAAGUUAAUUAAAAUUAGUUAACGAAAUUAUCUAAUUAAUCAAGACUUUAAUUAAUUAAUCAAUUUAGAAAAAGAAAUAAGUGACAAUAUUGAAUAUUAAAUAAUCGAAUCGAAUCAGCCACUAUAUGCUCAUAAACCGGUCUGUAAAAUGCCACAAUGGAACUGGAAUGACAUCUGUGAAGAUCAAAACGCGGUGAAAUGCCACAUUUGAUUUGUUGGAUCCGCGAAUUAAAAUUCCAUUUUAAGCGCAAUGAAGACCCAAUAGCAACCCAAUCAAUAUAUGACAUGUAACACUAAUAUUAACAAUGAUUAUAAAAUAAUACCAAACUUUUGCUUUCUCUUAUUCAUGUGAAGUUCAUAUACAUGACAAUAACAUUUCCUCAACUUCACGCUCUUGAAUUAACAAAUUGAUUAAUUAUUCAUCACCAAUUUCCACACUUCAAAUAAUAAUCUAAAACCGAACUCUGACUUUUCAUAUUAAGGCAUAUAUCAUGUUUUGAGAAAAGACAAUGUACUUAUUAACAAAAGAAAAGAAUUAGAAAAAAAAGAUUGUCAAUACAAUGAACACAAUGUAUUAGAGUGGAAUAACCAAGGCUAUGAAUACAAUGCCUCGUUACGAGCCUCCCUGGAAUAAUAAUAUCAUCAUCACCUAACCAAUGUUCAAAUUAAAACACCAAAGACUAUGAAGGAUUCAGUGCGUCUUAAAGUCACAACAACAAGCAUAAUCCCACAACAGUAUACAUCCCCUUUAUAAAUUUAUAUUAAACUUAGAUUUUAAUAUUAUUGAAAGAACUAAAUCCAAACUUAAAUGUAUAAGUUAAACAUAAACAAUUAGCCAAAAGGAAACAGUGGAGCGUUACCUAAACAACUAUAUGGUCGGAGAUCGUGGGCGGAGAUUUGGGCUGUCGCUCAGAAAUCGCGGUUGUUGGCGACGAUUUAGGGAUAUCGACGGUGAGUGGUUGUUGUUGGAGGAAGGGGGCGUCGCCGACGAUUAAGAAGGUUUGAUGUGAGAGUAGGUGUGAAAAGGAGGAAACGGCGGUUUCACGGUGGGUUUCGCGAUGGUGGUGUAGUGGAUGUCAUUCGUCGGAAAGGAGAAGAGGAGUUGUUGUGACGGCUGGUCCAGGCGGUGGAUUUAUUGGAGAUUUAGAUGGAGCUUCCGGUGAGGGAGGGGUCGCGGAUGGAGGUCGAAGGUAGUUUCCGACGGUGGUGGUUGGAGUUUGGGAUUUCGCGGCGACGAGAUGAAGAGUGAAUGGGUUAUGCGUUGUUGUUAGGUUGGAACGCGGACGGAGGUUUGCCGGCGGUGAGCGGAUCUGUGUUGAUUCCGACGGAAGGAAGGCGGUUGUUUGGCGCUGUGGAGAAGAAUAGGGAACAAUUUCUUUCUCUUUUUAUUUUCCUCCCCUUUCUUCAUGUUCAGAGGGAGAGAUUAUCAUUUUGGAGAGUGAGAGGACUGGUUUUCUUGUGGUCCUCUCUCUUAUUUUCUUUAUCGUUUUCUUUUUUCUAUUUUCUUGAUUUUUUGCUAAGAGAGAGUGAUUAUUGAGGAGUCAGGUCAGUCCCCUAGAGAGAGAAGAGAGGUCGCCUUUUAUUUUGUGGAUUCCCUUUUUUUUUUAUCGUUUUCCUUUCUUUUAGCGGACCGUUGGAGACCCUUAGUGGAGAUAGAUGCGUGCUAGCUGUCACCUUUUUCCAGCGAGCGAGAGAGAGGAUUUGGAAGAAACUUUUUAUUUUAUUUAUUUUCAGAUUUUUUUAAUAAUAAUAUUAAUUAAAUCUCAAAUUUUGAUUGGAUAAAGGGGAUAAGUGUGAAUUGCUAAUUAGGAGCAUUGAUUAAUUUGAAUCGAUGAUUCAGAUUAAAUCAAAGAAGCACAAACAAUUUAAAAUGGCAAAGUUCCCCUUCUAGAUGAUUUAAAUGGAAUUAAAUCAAUGAAUUCAAAUAAAAUUCACAACUUUUCACAUAAUCAUGAUAAAAUUAAAAUAAGAGCAUGGAAAAUUCUAUUUAUUUAAUCUGGAAAUUUUGGCGAAAGAAUAAAAUUAAAACGAAUAAAAAUAAAUAAAAGUCGGGCGAAAAUUAUCUUGAAAAAUUAAAUCGGAUGCACUAAAAUGAUCAGCACGAAAUAUACUUAUUAAAAAAAUACAGUGUUUCUUUAAAUUCUAAAAUAAAUUUUCACCGGUUAAAAGGCUCAAACAGAUUAAAAUGCAACUGAAAAAGUCGUCGAAAAAUAUAACGAGCACACCAGGCUGAACCACGUGAACUGUAGAUUAAUAAUACUGGCGUGUGUAAGUUUGAUUUCGAAACUUUUUACCCGCUGAUUUUGCACGUACUUGAGGAAUGAUUUAACCAAUUUGACUGUAUAUUCGAGAAUUCAUUUCGAUUGAUAUUUUAGGUAUUAUUCAUGAUGAAGUGCAUUUUAUGCUGUACAUAUGAUGCAAACUGAAAUUAAAAUCGAAUUUAUAAAAGUUUUAAAAUGCCCGGACAAAAUUGGGGUACGAAAAGACUCGAAUUUUGUCCUUUGGAAACACAAGGAAGAAAUGCAGAAAGAAAAUGCAGUGAGAAAUACAGUAAGAAAUGUUUUUAGGAGGUAAAAUGAAACAAUCAAGACUCUCUGGGAAUCGUCAUAACAAUAUCUCGGAUGUCACAAUCGAGAUUUUCCAACAAUGGAAUGAUACCUCAACUGUACCUAAGACUUUCUGAGCAUUAGCAGAACAACGUCUUGAUUUGAAUGCAUGAGAUUCUCUGAGUAUCAAUGAAGCAAUAUCCCAUAUGAUAUAAUCAAGAUAUUCCGACAAGGGAAUGAUACCUCAAUCGUAUUUAAGAUUCUCCGAGGACACCUAGAUCAGUAUCUCUAAAAGUUGAAUGAGACUCUUCAUAUCGAUGAAGUAGUAUCUUAAACAGAUAAAUGAGAUUCUCUAUAUCACACUGAAGCAACAUCUUAUAUGAUAGAAUUACGAUAUUCCAACAUGGGGAAUGAUACCUUAAUUGAAUCUAAGACUUUUCAAGGAUACUAGAGAAGUAUCUCAAAAAACAAGUGAGAUUCUUCAUAUUGAUGAAGCAGUAUCUCAAAUAUUCGUCUGUUGGGGGAAAUAUCUUAGAAAAGACUCUUUUUGGAGGAGAUUUACUGGAAAAGCUCUGUAGGGGGAAAGCUCAUAAGAGACUUUUUAUGGUAACCUCUGCUUGGAGAGGAAUGAUAGCAAAGAAAAUGUUUGGAAUAUCAUUAUUAAUCAUAAAGUUGAAAAAUGAUUUGCUGAGAAAUAAUUCCACGAGCACAUGCAGGGUAAUAACUUUAUUUAGAAAUAAGGAAAGUUGGGGAUGCAUAUGAAUGACCCUGGAUCCUGAUAUUUUGGUGUGAUUUUUGUAUGAUAUUCCACUUUAGGUGGAAAUACCAUGCAUGGGAUGAUGCAUGAUAUACAUUCAGGGAUGCAAUUGCUGGGGAUAUUUAGGAUGUGCAUGGGAAUGUAACUGAUUUUUGAUUUUAUAUAAGGUUAUGCAUAAGUAUGCUGAUGAUUGGUGGUAUCAUGUUUGAUGAAUUUUUCAGUUUGGUAGGAAAAUAAUUUAUGAAUGAUUCAUGUGAUGCAUGUGGGAAUACAAAUGGGUAACUGUAUAUUUUUGUAGGGCUUUAUUUUUUCAAUGAGAUUGUUGGAGAAUAUCAUCAUCAAAGGGUUGAUGGAAAGGUAAUUGUCAUCGUCAAAGAGUUGACGGAAAGGUAAAUGGCAUCAUUAGAGGGCUGAUGGUAAUUAAUUUGUUGUAAAAUGUCAUCAUCAGAGGGCUGAUGGAAAAGAAUUUGUCAUCGUCAAAGGGUUGACAAAAAGAAAUAAAGGAUGUCAUCACCAAAGGGUUGGUGGAAUAAAAAUUUGUCAUCGUCAAAGGGUUGACGGAAAGGAACUUUGUCAUCGUCAAAGGGUUGACAAGAAGAAACUUCACUAUGGAGUGGCAUCAUCAAAGGUUUGAUGGAAAUUUUUUAUCAUCAUCAAAGGCUUGACGGAAAGAAAUAAACGAUGGCAUCACCAAAGGGUUGGUGGAAAAGGAAUCAUAUAUGUAGUAUCAUUGUCAAAGGGUUGACGGAGGGAAACUUCACUAUGGAGUGGCAUCACCAAAGGGUUGGUGGAAAAGACUGUCAUCAUCAGAGGGCAGAUGGAAAAGAGUUUGUCAUCGUCAAAGGGUUGACGAAAAUAAACUUCACUAAGGAGUGGCAUCAUCAAAGGGUUAAUGGAAAAGGAGACCUCACUAUGGAGUGGCAUCACCAAAGGGUUGGUGGAAAAGGACGAUCAUCAUCAGGGGGCUGAUGGAGAAGAGACCUCACUAUGGAGUGGCAUCACCAAAGGGUUAGUGGAAAGGAUGAUUAUCAUCAAAGGGAUGAUGGAGAAGAGACCUCACUAUGGAGUGGCAUCACCAAAGAGUUGGUGGAAAGGAUGAUCAUCAUCAGAAGGCUGAUGGAAAAGAGUUUGUCAUUGUCAAAGGGUUGACGGAAAGAAACUUUACUAGGGAGUGGCAUCAUCAAAGGGUUGAUGGAAAAGGAGACCUCACUAGGGAGUGGCAUCACCAAAGGAUUGGUGGAAAAGGAUGAUCAUCAUCAGGGGGCUGAUGGAGAAGAGACCUCACUAUGGAGUGGCAUCACCAAAGGGUUGGUGGAAAGGAUGAUCAUCAUCAGAGGGCUAAUGGAGAAGAGACCUCACUACGGAGUGGAAUCACCAAAGGUUUGGUAGAAAGGAUGAUCAUCAUCAGAGGGCUGAUGGAAAAGAAAUUGUCAUCGUCAAAGGGUUGACGGGAAGAAUCUUCACUGUGGAGUGGCAUCAUCAAAGGGUUGAUGGAAAGAAUUUAUCAUCAUCAAAGGGUUGACGAAAAGAAACUUCACUAGGGAGUGGCAUCAUCAAAGGGUUGAUGGAAAAGGAUGAUCAUCAUCAGAGGGCUGAUGGAAAAGAGACCUGACUAUGGAGUGGCAUCAUCAAAGGGUUGAUGGAAAAAAUUAAAAGACGUCAUCACCAAAGGGUUGGUGGAAAAGAAAUGGUCAUCAUCAAAGGAUUGACAGAAAUAAUUAAGGGAUAUCAUCACCAAAGGGUUGGUGGAAAAGAAAAUUUGUCAUCGUCAAAGGGUAGACGGAAAGGAACUUCACUAUGGAGUGGCAUCACCAAAAGGUUGGUGGAAGGAAAUUCGUUGUAAAAGGUCUUCAUCAGAGGGCUGAUGGAAAAAAGAGAUCAGGUUAUGUCCUCAUCAAGGGGUUAAUGGGAAGGAAUUAUUAUGUUAUGUAUGCAUAUGAUGCAUGUUAAUGGAAAUUUCUUGUUUUUGUGAGAGAGCUUUUGCUAUGCAACUUCCUGAUUUGGCAGGAGAGUCAUGUGUGUUCAUUGUAUGCAGUGCAUGUGGUAAUGCAAGAGGAUUAUCGGUUGUUUUUGGCUUAAUCUCCCUUUUGGGAGGUGAGACUUUCUUGAUACCAAUGUUGAUUGGAUUUGGAUUCAUGAAGAUGCCAACAAAGUGGAUUUUUAUUGGUUGCCAAUAUGGAUUGGACUUUGGUUUCGGAUAUGCCAAUAGGGAUUGGACUUUGACAUUAUGAGGAUGCCAACAAAGUGGACAUUUAUUUUUAGUAGUUGCCAAUAUGGAUUGGACUUUUGGUUGGUAAAAGGUUUUGACUUCCCGACACUCUGUAUUUUGAAGAUGCGAUGAUCAAAGGAUAGAUGUGGAUGCUUUUGGUGCCCCAAAUUUGAUCUGUUGUUGAUAUAUUGUGUGUUUAGUCUUGAGAGGACCUCAACUUCUUUGCUUGAUAUGCUUUGAUGGCUUGUAAAUGAGCAUAAUGACGUAAUCAAUGCAUAAUGAUUGUGCUCUUGCUCUUCCCUAAGGCUCUUUACAACUUGUAUGCCCCAACCUUUAGGGUCUUUUAAAGGAAUUCAUCUUUGAAAGGAAACCCUGGGAAUGCACAUACCAUGGCUUGAACCAACUUUGGCCCAGUACAUGGAUCAUGCAGUGGUUUUCCCCUGAUUAAGAUUUUGAAAGGCUUGCCCCAGAUGGACUGGAUAUUUUGAAAUUGUUUGCCUCCUUGAUCAACUGAUGCUUGGAGUUUGUCUUUUGACUGACCAAUUCAUAGUCAUUAGAUGCCAUGCCCUUGAUCCAUAGGGUUAAGAGGUGGUCUUGAUUCGGAUCAGCACCAACGGAUGUUCAAGUUCCUCUGAUUGUUCCUUAUUGUUGGAAUUUCCUUGAUAUAAAGUACUAACUUGCAGUUAAAAUUGUUUAUUUAAUCAAUGGUAAUUUUAAUGCGAUAUUCAUGCAGGUUUGAAAAAUCAUUUAUUGAGGUGAUGUGAUUAUGUGUGACGAAUGAACCAUUAGUCCAAACGCAGUGCUGAUUUAUCUAGUGUGUGAAAGAUAUAGCAAGAAUAUGAUCCCAUAUACAGGUGAUUAGCAAAUAUUUAGGAGCCAGUUUACACAUCUUUGCUGUAGUAUGCUUUCAGAAUAAACCUUUCUUCAAUUAGGUCUUUUAAGGGUUGUAACGUGGCUUGGUUCACGGUUACUGACACAAAGGAUGUAGGACUCAAAUUUUGUUUUAACCCACCCUAUCUUCAUGAUGAUCUCCAAUCCUACAUUAAGUUAAACACACACAUUCAACUUUUAAGAGAGUUUGGCAGUGUAAGAUCUCUUGAAAUGGCAGUCAUCUUAUUUUGCUCUUCAUGGAUGUUGGUGACACUUUGAUUUUGGUAUGGUGGUCACUGAAUCUUGUUUUGCUUUGUUGAGGGUUUUCAUUGCCUCUUUUGAUUUUUGUUUUGAUCCCUAACGUUUUCCUGUACCGCUUUUGAAGCUUUGGUCCAUCGGGAUUUCCCCAUGUUUUUGCCUAAGUCUCUUUUUGGGGAUCGACUUAGCAGGCUUUUUUUCUUUUGUUUGAAAAAUUGUGACUUCCAAGUCAUUGGUCAUUGAAGAACAAUCGACAUAAAUUUUGGAUUUUGUAUGGUUAUUUACCACUUCAGGAUGUGUUCGCAGAUUAUCAUGUGGUUGAUCCUCUGACGGGGUGUUUCAUCUUAUAAUUUGAAUGCGUAGUCAGAUUAACUGAACACUACCCUGCCCCAGGUUAAGCGUAAGGGUUUGUAAAUCCGAAAUAAAGUCCUACUUCUAGGCUCGAAGUGGUUGACUAGGGAUUAACUCCUUAUCUCUCCAGUGUUUGGGGAUUUAAAACAAUGCCUGUACAUCAUCAGCAAGAUUUUAUCCGAAAGCAUACAGUCAGCCAUUAUGGGUAUUUCAUUUUCGUCAUCCUCCCUUCAAUCUUUUCUAAAAUAACUAUUUGAUAAACGAAUGGGAGUAAUAUUUUUGUUUUUUGAUAUAAAUGGAAAAUAUGAGUGAAUACGAAAGGAUUCAUUAAAAACACACAUAAUCAUUUCAUUAAUAUUACCAUUAAAAGAAGUCAACAAUACUUGAAAGCAGAUAAGUACCUGACAUGCAAAGAAAAAUACAAAUGAAAUGCUAGAAAUAGCCAAAUGAUAGUCAAUGCAGAGGAAGCUCUCUCGUGUCUAGUUCACUACUGGGCUAGCCUCCUUCAGAGUAGUGGUAGUUUUGCUCGUCGAGACUAGUAUGAUAAUCAUCUUCAGACCUAUUCUCGGAAUUUUCUUCCAUAACAUGGACUGAUGGACCCACAUAUCUAGGUGAAGAAGUAUUAUUGAUUUUCAAGCUUCGAGGUGUAAAUGAGAACAUCUUGGAAUCAAGCAGGGUUUGUACUUUUCUCUUGAGAACCUUACAGUCUUUAGUUGAAUGCCCAUGUGCCCCAUCAUGGAAGUCACAUUGGGAGUUGGCGUCAAAACCUGGUGGAUACAGAGGAAUGACUGGAUUUAGCUUCUUUGGCACUAUCAGUCCUCUCUCAAUCAAAUACGGAAGUACUUGACUGUAUGUCAUUGGAAGUGGAUCGAUGUGUCUCUCUAGCUUUCUUGGCCUUCAUUGAGCCUGUUGACAUUGUCGAUGUGGAACAUCCUGUCAUUUGUAUGGUCGUUGAGGUGGAACUGUUGUUGAUGUUGAGGAGAUCUUUGAUGUGGAGAGGAUGAUCUCUGAUAUGGAGCUUAUGGGAUUUCCCAAACUGCAUUAAUUUCAACCUCUUCUUCCUUUAGUGAACUGAUAAUAUAUUCAAUCUCAAUGUUCUGGCUAUUUGAGGCGUGUUGGAUUCUUCCACUUUCAAAGCCAUACUCGACGCGUUCUCCAAUUGACACCAAGUGAGCGAAGUCUGAUGCUACACUGCUAAUCAUCCUUUCGAAGUAAGGGCUUUGCAAAGUAUCCCUGAAUAAUCCCAUCAAUUCUUUUUCUAAGAGUGGUGGUUCAAUGCAAUCCGCUAACUCUCUCCAUCUUUGGGCAUACCCUCUGAAGGAUUCAUCGCUUUCCUUAGAUAAGGCUCUUAACUGCAUGUGAUCAGGAGCUAUGUCCAAAUUAUAUUUGUAUUACUUCAAGAAGUCGUUAGCUAGGUCCAACCAUGGUUGAACAUGAUUCCUUUCUAACUUCAUAUACCAACUCAUUGAUGCCCCAGUUAAACUGUCUUGAAAACAAUGAAUCAUUAGCUUAUCAUUAUGGGCAUGAGAGGUCAUUUUUCGACAAAACAUCACCAAAUGGUGCUUUGGAUAGCCACCCCCUUUGUACUUCUCAAAUUUUGGUACUUUGAAUUUUGGGAUUAUAACCAGGCUAGGUACCAAACACAUGUUUGAAGCAUUCAGUUCAGGAUUAUCUUGUCCUUCUAUGGCCUUGAGUCUUUUCUCAAGCACACAACAUCUUUCAACGAUCUCAUCAUCUUGUGGUCAUUCAGUAUUAACCACUAGGCGUGUUCCAUGGGAAUUUGGCACGGAGAAUGCAAAGUUAUGAUAUUCAACACCAUCAUGAUAUGAGGAAUCUCGAACAUUAUGACGUUCUUGUACAACAGGGUUAUCAACUAGGGUUUGCACGGGCCGAGGCUGGGUGAGAUCAUUUAUUGGAGCUGGAAUAACAUUCUCAAUGACUGUAGUCUACUGAAUGUUGUCUUCCCUCUUUGAUAAAGCUAUCAUAGCCUCAACAAGUUAGUCUAUCUGGUUUUUCAUCGAGUCAACAUCUCCUCUUAAUGCAAUAUGACUUUGCUCCAAUGGAUCCAUGGUCUUUCAAGAGCUACUUCAAGUAUGAUAUGAGUGUCGGGAAUUCAACUGCAGGUUAUGAAGGAUGGAUGAGUCUUUUGUAUAUUUUGUGAAAAAUGAUAUGUAACGCAUGAUAAAUGCAGAUGCCGUGAUAUGUGUAUGAAUGAAGUGACAUGUUCAGGAUCACAGGUUCAAGGUAUUCUCAGGUUAAUUAGAAUAACGGGUAAAUGAUAGGUAUCUCUGAUUAAUGGAACCCCAUGGGAUAGGCUCUACAGUUGGUAGGUUCUUAGAGUCACGAAUAUUUCUUGAGAACAUCAUUGUCGUGACGAAGACUCAUCGGAUAAUAAUAUCCUUAAGAUGAUCUCGUCUAGGCGAGGUCUUCGUAUUGUCCCAACAAGGAAGGCUCCAUGGGGAUUCUACUACACAACUCUCGAGUCCAUGGUUCUAACAAGGUUCUUAGAGUCAUAGAUCGAGGUUGGAAAUAUUACUGUAAGAUAGUAAUACGUCCAAGGGAUCUCAUCUGAUUGGGGCUUUCAUAUUAACCCAACAAGUCUGAAACUUCGUAGGUUAAUACUACAUAAACGCCGGAUAGAGUGGGUUAAAAGGUCCCUAGAGUCAUUGAUCCAACUUGAAAAUACUAUCGUCGUGAAGAAGACUCGUUGGACAAUAAUAUCUCAAGAGAAUCUACUCUAGGUGGGGUCUUUGUAUCGUCCCAACAAGGAAGACUCCUUGUGGGCCUCCACCACACAACCACCAACUUAAUCUUAUGGUACUUCUCAGACUCGGGUGUAGAGCCUGUCUCACAAGGUACCAAUAACCAGAGAGCCCCAAAUAAGACAUAGUUAAUAAACCACAAAUCAAUAAUUACAACAGAAUAAUAAUAACAGAAUAAAGGUAACAAAAAAACAAGGUUAACACUCAACACAGAAACUGAACUAAGUUAGGCUUGACUCUCUCUUGCUUAGAGCUAAAUGUCCCCUGCAGAGUCUCCAUCUGUCGCAUCUCGAAAAAUACGAUUCCUCGCGAUGGUCGCGGAAAAAUUAUGUUCGAACAGAGUCGCCACCUACCUUUAUUUAUCCCAAUGAAGGAAUAGGAAAAUAUCGAUAAAACCUUUAGAAAGUAGAAUAAUGGUCAUCGCAACCAUAUUCGAGUUCCGGAGUCGAUUACGCAAGGGGAAGGUAUUAGCACCCCUCACGUCUGUUGUACUCAACGGGAACCUUUUAGUUUAAUUUGAGAUUUGAAUGUUAGCUUAUGUUGUUUGUUUUCUUCGAGUGAAUAAAAGAUUAAAAUAGAGAUGGAUGGAAACCUCAUAAAGGGGAAAGGGAGGUUUUUUAUUAGUGUGCUCGCCAAGAUCUCGCAAUCUCGUGCCUACGUAUCCUUAUGGUGCAAUAAGGAAAUCAGAGCAUUCGUAGUUCGGGGAACUACGGUUUGUUGGCGUCUUUUAGCGAACAACUGUUUAGAUCGCGUUCUAAAGGUUAAAUGUUGGCUUGCCUACUCUCGACGUAGGCUUAAGCACUAGUUUGUUGUGUGCAUUAGAAAGGAUUAAACAGUGUUCUUUCUGAAAAGAGUUUUGGUCACACGGGGGUGACAAGUUGAGUUAAUAUGUUGGGUGUUUUGUUGGAUUGGUUUUGAUCGCACGGGGGAGAGAAAGAGAUUUAAUGUGUUGUGAUAUCUUGUUGGAUGAUGAUUACUCGGAUGAUCGAGUAAGACAACUGUGAUAUCUUGUUUGAUAAUAAUUAAGGUGUUUUAAAAGGAUGAAGAAUACUCGGAUAGUCGAGUAAGACAACUCUUAUCCUAAUAGUCAGGAAAGGGAAUAAAAGACUCUAGACCACCUUCUUUUUCAUCUGAGUGAUUGUGAGAAUAGGAUUAUGUAUGGUUGAUGUAUUUUUCGAAUGAAUGACAAGUACUUGAAUGGCUGAGUAAGACAACUCUUAUCCAAGCAUUUGAGGAGAGGAAUCGAAGGCUCUAGACCAUCUCCCUUUUCGCAUAGUUUAUUGUGAAAAUGAUUUAAUUAAGUUAUAUGUUUGUGGAAAAAUGACAAUUGUUUGACUAACCGAGUAAGAGAACUCGUAUUCAAUCAAUAUAGAAGAGAAGUUGAAGGCUAAAAAUCAUCUCCCUUUUCAUUUCAUUAUUAUGAAAAUAAUUUGAUUUAAUCUUGGUUUAAGGUUUGUAAAGAAACGACGAUUGUCUAACUGAGCGAGUAAGAAAACUCGUAUUCAAACAAUCGAGGAGAGGAGUUAAAGGCUUAAAAUCAUCCCCCUUUUCAUUUAGUUUAUUAUACGAAUGUUUUGAUUUAAUUAUGCUUAAGCGGAUUAGAAAUGACAAUUAUUUGACUAACCGAGUAAGAGAACUCGUUAAUCGAGGAGAGGAGUUGAAAACUCAAAACCAUCCCCCUUUUCACUUCGUAAUUAUGAAAUGGUAUUUAAUUGUGAUUAGGUGUUUUGAUAAUUAAUUUUGAACAACAUACACGACAUUGGAUCGAGGGUUGAAUUGGUGUUUGUGAAUAAAUUAUAUUUUAAUGAAUCAAUCAUCUAAUCGAUUAAUUAAUAACCGAAUAGGUCUCACUGUAAGAAAGCUCAAGAGUAAGCUAUGUGAGGUUGAUGGCGAUGCUUAGAAGCAAUCGACUUACAAGGUAUUUGAAAAUAGGCUCGACAUGGAAUCGAGAAGUAUGUGAUCUUUUAAAUGGUUUGAAUGGUUUAUAUUAUGAAGUGAUAGCAAAAAUGAUCGUGAAACAAAUCGGUCAACUUUUAAAAAAUAAAAUUAAUUAAUUAAAAUUCAAUUAAUCCAUCUAAUUAAGAUAAUUAAAAUUAAUUAUCAAAAUUAUUCGAUUAAAAAUUAAUGUAAUCAAAUAAUUAAGUUAAUUAAAAUUAGUUAACGAAAUUAUCUAAUUAAUCAAGACUUUAAUUAAUUAAUCAAUUUAGAAAAAGAAAUAAGUGACAAUAUUGAAUAUUAAAUAAUUGAAUCGAAUCAGCCACCAUAUGCUCACAAACCGGUUUGUACAAUGCGACAAUGGAAUUGAAAUGUCGUAUGUGAAGAUCAAAACGUGGCGAAAUGCUCGAUUGAUUUGUUAAAAUUUAAUGAUAUACCAGCAUGAAAUUGCCGGAUCCGCAAAUUAAAAUUCCAUUUUAAGCGCAAUGAAGACCCAAUAGAAACCCAAUCAAUAUAUGACAUGUGACACUAAUAUUAACAAUGAUCAUAAAAGAAUACCUAACGUUUGCUUUCUUUUAUUCACAUGAAAUUGGUAUACAUGCCAAUAACAUUUCACCAACUUCACGCUCUUGAAUUAACGAAUUGAUUAAUUAUUCAUCACCAAUUUCCACACUUUAAAUAAUAAUCUAAAACCGAACUCUGACUUUUCAUAUUAAGGCAUAUAUCAUGUUUUUAGAAAAUAGAAUGUACUUAUUAACAAAAGAAAAGAAUUAGAAAAAAAAAUUGUCAAUAUAAUGAACACAGUGUAUUAGAGUGGAAUAACCAAGGCUAUGAAUACAAUGCCUCGUUACGAGCCUCCCUGGAAUAAUAAUAUCAUCAUCACCUAACCAAUGUUCAAAUUAAAACACCAAAGACUAUGAAGGAUUCAGCGCAUCUUAAAGUCAUAACAACAAGCAUAAUCCCACAACAGUAUACAUCCCCUUUGUAAAUUUAUAUUAAACCCAGAUUUUAAUAAUAUUGAAAGAACCAAAUACAAACUUAAAUGUAUAAGUUUUACAUAAACAGUUAUCCAAAUGGAAAUAAUUGAGCGUUACCGAAACAACGGUAUGGUCAGAGAUCGUUGGCGGCGAUUUGGGAUGUCGCUCGGUAAUCGCGCAUGUUGGCGACGAUUUGGGGAUAUCGACGGUGAGUGGUUGUUGUUGGAGGAAAGGGGCGUCGCCGACGAUUGAGAAGGUUUGAUGUGAGAGUAGGUGUGAAAAGGAGGAAACGGCGGUUUCGCGGUGGUGGUGUAGUGGAAGUUGUUCGUCGGAAAGGCGAAGAGGAGUUGUUGUGACGGACGGUUCCAGGCGGUGGAUUUAUUGGAGAUUCGGAUGGAGUUUCCGGUGAGGGAGGUCGCGGAUGGAGGUCGAAGGUAGUUUCCGGAGGUGGCGGUUGGAGUUUGGGGUUUCGCGGCGACGAGAUGAAGAGUGAAGGGGUUGUGCGUUGUUGUUGGGUUGGAACGCGGAUGGAGGCUUGCCAGCGGUGAGCGGAUCUAUGUUGAUUCUGGCGGAAGGAAGGCGGUUGUUUGGCGCUGUGGAGAAAAAUAUGGAAAAAUUUCUUUCUCUUUUUAUUUUCUUCCCCUUUCUUCACGUUCAGAGUGAAAGAGCGUCAUUUUGGAGAGUGAGAGGAGCGGUUUUCCUGUGGUCCUCUCUCUUGUUUUCUUUAUCGUUUUCUUUUUUCUAUUUUCUUAAUUUUUUGCUGAGAGAGAGUGAUGAUUGAGGAGUCAAGUCAGUCCCCUAGAGAGAGAAGAGAGGUCGCCUUUUAUUUUGUGGGUUCCUUUUUUUUUAUCGUUUUCCUUUCUUUUAGUGUACCGUUGGAGACCCUUAGUGGAGAUGGAUGCGUGUUAGUUGUCGUGUUAGUUGUCAUCUUUUGCCAGCGAGCAAGAGAGAGGAUUUGGAGAGAAACUUUUUAUUUUCAUAUUUUUCUAAUAAUAGUAUUAAUUAAAUCCCAAAUUUUGAUUGGAUAAAUGGGAUAAGUGUGGAUUGCUAACGAGGAGCAUUGAUUAAUUUGAAUCGUUGAUUCAGAUUAAAUCAAAGAAGCACAAACAAUUUAAAAUGGCAAACUUCCCCUUCUAGAUGAUUUAAAUGGAAUUAAAUCAUUUAAUUCAAAUAAAAUUCACAACUUUUCACAUAAUCAUGAUAAAAUUAAAAUAAGAGCAUGGAAAAUUCUAUUUAUUUAAUCUGGAAAUUUUGGCGAAAGAAUAAAAUUAAAACGACUAAAAAUGAAUAAAAGUCGGGCAAAAAUUUGCUCGAAAAAUUAAAUCGGAUGCAUGAAAAUGAUCAACACGAGAUAUACUUAUUAAAAAAAUACAAUGUUUCUUUAAAUUCUGAAAUAAAUUUUCAUCGGUUAAAAGGCUCAAAUGGAUUAAAAUGCAGCUGAAAAAGUCCUUGAAAAAUAUAACGAGCACACCAGGCUGAACCACGCGAACUGUAGAUUAAUAAUAAUGGCGUCUGUAAGUUUGAUUUCGAAACUUUUUACCCGCUGAUUUUGCACGUACUUGACGAAUGAUUUAACCAAUUUGACUGUAUAUUCAAUAAUUCAUUUCGAUUGAUAUUUUAGGUAUUAUUCAUGAUGAAAUGCAUUUUAUGAUGUACAUAUGAUGCAAACUGAAAUUAAAAUCGAAUUUAUAAAAGUUUUAAAAUGGCGGAACAAAAUUGGGGUAUGACAGGGUCUUUUCAACAUGUUUUGUCCUUACUCACACGCUUUCCAGGAAACUUCCCAGAAGGUCACCUAUCCAAAUACUACUCCAAGUCAAACACGCUUAACUAUGGAGUUCUUAUUUGUUAGGCUACCAAAAAGAAGAUGCAUCUUAUUGGUAUAGGUAGUACCAAUUAAUCCUUAUAAGGCUUCCUUCAACGAUGCAGUCCCAUACUUGCACAGCCUCAAGAUCCCUCUCAUUCCGAUGUGGAUUCAAUUUUUCCCUAGAAGCUGCUAGGAGUGUCCUUACUCACACGCUUUCCGAGAUCCCACCAGCUUCGACUUGGUUUUUCCCCGAACCAUAUUGUACUGGGAGAGGUACGACUCUGAUACCAUUUGUAACACCCCAGACUACUUUCAGAAUUAUCGAAUGACCCCACAAACCAACACGGGUCUUUUCAGCAUGUUUUAUCCUCACUUACACACUUUCCAGGAAACUUCCUAGACGGUCACUCAUCCAAAUACUACUCCAAGUCAAGCACACUUAACUAUGGAGUUCUUAUCUGUUAGGCUACUGGAAAAAAAGACGCAUCUUAUUGGUAUAUGUAGUACCAAUUAAUCCUUAUAAGCCUUCCUUCAACGAUGCAGUCCCAUACCUGCACAGCCUCAGGAUCCCUCUCAUUCCGAUGUGAAUUCGGUUUUUCCCUAGAAGUUGCUAGGAGUGUCUCAUUGUCAUGCCUCAUGCACCUACAACCACUCCAUCACCCUCGAGUGUAACAUGUAACCACUAUAUGUCCUCUCUGGACUUGGGUGUUACAUGCCCACCAGCUUCCGCUUGGUUCCUUCCCGAACCACAUCGUAUUGGAAAAGGCACGGCUCUGAUACCAUUUGUAACACCCCAAACUACUUUCAAAAUUAUCGACUGACCCCAUAAACCAACACAGAUCUUUUCAGCAUGUUUUAUCCUCACUCAUACGCUUUCUGGGAAACUUCCCAGAAGGUCACCCAUCCAAAUACUACUCCAAGUCAAGCACGCUUAAAUAUGGAGUUCUUAUCUGUUUGGUUACCGAAAAGAAGAUGCAUCUUGUUGGUAUAUGUAGUUCCAAUUAAUCCCUAUAAGUGUUCCUUCAAUGACGUAGUCCCAUACAUGCACAACCUCAAGAUCCCUCUCAUCUUGAUGUGGAUUCGAUUUUUCCCUAGAAGCUGCUAGGAGUGUCUCGUUGUCAUACCUCAUGCACCGACAACCACUCCCUCUCCUUCAGGUAUUAGAUGUAUCCACUCUCCGCCCUCUUAGGCCUCGGGUGUUACAUGUAAAAUAUGAAAGGUGAUAUUUGAACUCACUACCUCUCAUACUCAUAACUCCUUAGCCAUACUCUCCAUCCAUUAGACCAUUGCACCCAUCCUAAGAAAUGUGAGAUUCAAACUCACAACCUCUCAUGCUCAUAAUUUCUUACCCAUACACUACCAUCCAUUAGGCCAUUGCUGCUCUGAUACCAUUUGUAACGCCUCAUACUGCUCUCAGGAUUACCGACUGACCCCACAAACCAACACGGGUAUUUUUAACACGCUUUGUCCUUACUCACACACUUUACGGAAAACUUCCCAGAAGGUCACCCAUCUAAAUACUACUCCAAGUCAAGCACGUUUAACUAUGAAGUUCUUAUCUGUUAGGCUACUGAAAAGAAGAUGCAUCUUGUUUUCGGUAGCCUAACAGAUAAGAACUCCAUAGUUAAGCGUUCUUGACUUGGAGUAGUAUUUGGAUGGGUGACCUUCUGGGAAGUUUCCCAAAAAGCGUGUGAGUGAGGACAAAACAUACUGAAAAGACCCGUGUUGGUUUGUGGGGUCAGUCAAUAAUUAUGAAAGUAAUUUGGAUUAGGCUAGAAGACAUCUUUCCACAUCUUAGGGUGCGGGCUGGUAAUGAUGUAUGAUGUUGUUGACUUCCUCCUCUGGGACGCAACGACGAAAGAUACCAUCAACACCUCUUUUGAAAAGGAGAGGCUCAUCCCAGUAGUAGUGUUUCAGUUCAUGGAAGAAUUUAUUCUUCUGCUGGUAAGUUAGCCUUGAAGGAAGUUCUCCGGCUACUAGGUAGUUGACAAAGUCAGUGUACCACGAUACAGUAGUUUUAGUAAUUAUGGCCUCCACAACCUCUUCAAUUUCUGCAUCUUUAAAAGUUAAAGAGUACUCAGUUGUGUUACUUUCAAUUUGAGCUACAAGUCGAUCAUAUGGAAAAUCAUCGUUGAUUGGUUAUUGCUCGAUUUUCAUAUUCUCGAGUAUAGACAGGUGGUCGGCAACAACGUUUUCAGUUCCCUUCUUGUAUUUGAUCUCCAAGUUGAAUUCUUGCAAGAGAAGAAUCCAUCUUAAGAGCCUUGGUUUGGCAUAUUUUUUAUUCAAUAGAUACCUGAUUGCGGCGUGAUCAGUGUAGAUAAUUAUUUUAGCUCCUACCAAGUAGGAACGAAAUUUAUCUAACGCGAAAACAACAACUAGGAGCUCAUUUUCAGUCGUGGCGUAGUUCAUUUGUGCUUGGUCCAAGGUUCUACUUGCAUCAAAGAUCGCAUGAAGCUUUUUAUCAGUUCUAUGUCCCAAGGCCGCGCCUACAACAUAAUCACUCACGUCACACAUCAUCUCAAAAGGUCUGCUCCAAUCAGGUAGUUGCAUGAUGGGCACAAUUAUUAGGGCGUUUUUCAAUAAUUCGAACGCCUCCAGACAUUUUUCCGUCAAAGACGAAUUUCAUGUCUUUCAUUAAUAAGUUGGUUAAUGGUUUUGUUAUUUUACAAAAAUCUUUAAUAAACCGGCGGUAAAAACCGGCGUGUCCUAAAAAGCUUCAUAUUUCUCUAACAUAUUUCGAGGGUUGGAGGUUUUCUAUAACCUCUAUUUUUGCUUUGUCGACUUCAAUCCCCUUAUUGGACACUAUAUGUCCAAGUAUUAUCCCUUGUUUAACCAUGAAAUGAAAUUUUUCCCAAUUUAUCACGAGAUUAACCUUCACACAUCUAUCAAGUGCCAUUUCUAGGUUUUUUAGACAACCUUCGAAACUCUACCCACAAACGAAAAAAUCAUCCAUAAACACCUCGAUGAUGUUGUCUAUAUAGUCUGCGAAAAUUGACAUCAUGCACCUUUAAAAUGUUGCGGGAGCAUUACAAAGUCCAAAUGACAUUCGUCUGUAGGCAAAUGUACCAAAGGACAUGUGAAAGUUGUCUUUUCUUGGUCAUUAGGAUGGAUGGGAAUUUGAAAGAAUCCUGAGUAACCAUCCAGAUAUCAAAAAUGAGAGUGCUUAGCUAAUCGUUCCAGCAUUUGAUCGAUAAAAGUUAAGGGGAAGUGAUCCUUGUGAGUGACUUUAUUUAAUUUUAGGUAAUCAAUGCACAUCCUCCAUCCAGUUACUACAUGUUUAGCUAAAAUCUCUCCCUUUUUGUUAUCGACAACCGUAACACCACCUUUCUUGGGUACUACAUGUACUGGGCUGACCCAUUUACUGUCAGAUAUGGGAUAUAUAAUAUCUGCCUCUAAUAACUUCAACACUUCUUUUCUUACAACAUUGCUCAUAAUCGGGUUUAGAUGCCUCUGGUGUUCCCUAGAGGUUUUCGAGUCUUCUUCUAGCAUAAUGCGAUGCAUGUAUAGAGAGGGACUAAUUCAUUUUAAGUCUGAGAUGUUGUUGCCUAAGGAAUUAGGGUAUUUCCUUAGGACAUGUAAUAGUUUUUCAGUUUCUAUUUAUCCUAAAUCGGUGUUGACUAUUACUGGUUUCUCAAGCUCAGUGUCCAGGAAUUCGUAUCUCAUAUUUUUCGGUAGUGUUAUAAGUUCUAUAGAUGGUUUCUUCGAGCAUGGCAUAGGAUUUGGAGUUAUUGCUAGACAUUCCCUUAAACUAUCAUCUACGGAUGGUUCUUUGUAUUGGUCAUCCUCAAGAAUGGGUGGUGUUGUGAUUUUUAGGAUUUCAGUAUCCUCGGAUGGUUCCAUUUUUAUUUCUUUCAUACACUCAUCAAUGAUGUCCAUAAAAUAACAUGUGUCGUCUAUGGCUGGUGCUUUUAGAAAUUGCGAUAAAAUGAAUUCAAUCUUCUCCUCUCCCACUUCGAAAAUCAUUUUUCCUCGUUUCACAUCUAUAAUGGCACCGGCAGUUGCUAGGAAGGGUCUACCUAGGAUAAUUGAGAUGUUAGAAUCUUCUAUGAUGUCCAUUAUUAUGAAAUCGGUAAGGAUGAAGAAUUGGCCGACUUGGACGGGAAUGUUCUCUAGCAUUCCUAUAGGAUACUUAACAGAACAAACUGCUAAUUGUAGAGACAUACUCGUUGGUCUUAACUCUCCCAAUUUGAGUCUUUCGCAGAUGGAAAGGGGCAUCAAACUCGCACUAGCUCCUAAAUUGCAGAGGGCUUUAUCUAUUACAAACUUCCCUAUCACACAAGGUAUGGAAAACUGCCAGGAUCUUUUAGUUUAGGUGGCAUGUUAUUCUAAAUGAUAGCACUACACUCUGUGUUAAGCGUCACUGUCUCAUCAUCCUCAAGUUUCUUCUUGUUAGAUAAGAUUUCUUUUAGGAACUUGGCAUAUGAGGGUAUUUGUGUAAUAGCUUCAUGAAAGGGAUGGUAAUAUUAAGUUGUUUCAAGAGUUCGACGAACUUCCUGAAUUGUCCUUCAGUUUUGGAAUUAUCUAGUAUUUAAGGGUAAGGAAUUGGUGGUUUAUAUGGUGGUGGAGGCACGUAUGGUUUCUCCUUCUCAACUGCCUCUUUGGUUUCAUCUUUUGCCUCUGGUUUAUCAGGUUGGCCAUUUUUCUGAGUCAUCGGCGGAAUUUAUGUUUUGGGAUCAACUGGUCCGUCUAACUUCGUCCCGCUCCAUAAUGUGAUAGCAUUAGCUUGACCUUUCGGUUCGGUUGAGGUUGACCAGGGAAAGUUCUAGCUGAAACUGCGGUAGUUUCUUGAUGCUGGGCUACUUGAGAAAUUUGAGUUUCCAACAUUUUCUUAUGAGUAGCCAAAGCAUCUACUUUAGUUGCUAAUUGUUUCACUAAUUCUGAGGUAUGAACGUUCUGGUUCAUAAACUCCUUAUUUUGUUGCGUUUGAGAAGCAACAAAUUUUUCCAUCAUUAACUCAAGAUUAGAUUUUCUAGGCGUUUGAGGAGCGGCUUGAGGUGCGCUCUGAGUUGGCUUAUGGUAACCAGAAGGUGGUUGGUUUAGAGCAUAUAAGGCAUUGUUAUUCUUAUAAGAGAAGUUAGGAUGGUUUUUCCAACCUGGGUUGUAAGUAUUGGAGUACGGGUUUCCUUGAGCAUAGUUUAAUUGGUCAGGUGUAAUGCCUGCUAGUAAUUGGCAUUCGGAAAUGUCGUGUCCAGGUACUCCACAUAUAUUGUAGCUUAGGGCUAUGGCAUCCACGGUGGCCACGGGAUUUAUGGUUAAACUUUCAAUCUUUUGAGUCAGGGCAUCUACCUUAGCAUUGACGUGAUCUAUGCCAUUGACUUCGUACAUACCUCCUUUUGGUUGAGGUUUCUCUAUAGAAGUGCGCUCUCCACCCUAUUGGUAGUGAUUUUGUUCCAUAUUUUGAAUGAGUUGAUCAGCCUCUUCAUAUGGUUUGUCCCUUAUAGUGACGCCAACUACAACGUCUAAGAUUAAUUUGGUGUUAUAUGAGAGACCACCAUAGAAGGUUUAGAUGAUAAGCCAUGGUUCAAGCCCAUGGUGCGGGCAAAUCCUCAGCAUGUCCUUAUAUCUCUCCCACGCUUCAAAAAGUGAUUUGUUGUCCUUUUGCCUAAAUCCUUUGAUUUGGCUUCUUAGCAUAGCCAUUUUACUAGGUGGGAAAUAUCUGGCUAAGAAACCUUCUUUAAUUCUUCCCAUGUAGUUAUGGAAUUGGAAGGUAAAGACUGAAGCCACACUCUAGCUCUGUCUCUUAAAGAAAAGGGGAAAAGACGUAAUCGUAUUGCUUCAGGAUUAACACCUUAGCUUUUACCGUAUCUGCAUAUUGUAUGAAUACUGACAGAUGGAGAUUCGAAUCGUCUGUAGGAUUGUUAGAGAAUUAGUUUUGUUGUACAGCUUGUAACAGUGAAGGUUUCAACUCGAAAUCGUUUCGGUCGAUGGCAGGGGAAGCAAUGUUGUUGUGUGGUUCAUCCUGAAAUGGGGCAGCAUAGUCCCUUAAAGGAUGGUUAGCAGGGGCGGCCAUAUCUGGUUCGAGUAUAUCAGGAUCAAGAAGGUUGUAUUUUAAACGGAAUUGUUUAAGUCAGUGUCUUAGACUAAUAUAACGCUCGAUUUCGUCUAUCGGUUGUUCUAACUCGUCUUCUUGUGAGCGAGUGUUUAACAUGCAACCAAAACAAAUAAAAAGGAAAAUAGUUUCCUUAGUCUAUAUCGUGCAACAGUGGAGUUACGAUAUUGACUUAAUUAGUCCCCGGAAACGGCGCCAAAAACUUGAUCGUGACUUAGUAUGUCUAUCGAAAUGGCUAACUGCAAGUGCACAGUCAUAUUGUGUAGUUUUAAAAAGAUGUUGAACCCAAAGGACCAAAAUUCAAACUAUCGUUAUCUAAAGUUACUAUGUAAAGCUAAAGCUAAUGAUUGUUUUCUUUUUUUUAGAUUGAUUAAGAGAAACGGAGAAAUAAAAUUUAACUAGAAAUAAUAAUAUAAUUAAAGUAUUCAAUAAAGAGGCAUCAGUAUGUAAAUCACAUCAUUCUUCGAGGAUUCGGAAAACAAUUAAUAUUAAAAUAAGGUAAAUCACUUUUCAGUAGAAAAUAUCAAAUUAAAAGACUUUGCCUCACACUCUUGUGUUAUUGGCUCGGGCUAUACUCAUAAGCCAAAAUGUUUUGCUCUCGCUCACCCACCUAAAUUAAAAGUAAUUUUUGGAAAUUGAUAAAUCAUAAUUAAUCCUAAAGCGAUCUCGUUGUGUUUAUGAUUAAUGCCUAGAAGCCACUAUCUGGUUAAAAUCUCAAACUCUCGUUCUGUUGAUUUAUAACCUUAUUGACUUUUCACUCUCGUGCAAAAACCUCUUUAAAUUAGAAUUGGAAACCAGAGCUAGAAAAAUAACUCAUAAAAAUUAUCAUUCAUUAUUACCGAAUCUCGUCAGAACGACAGUCCUUACAUACCGAUAUCGAAUGUUUUAGCCGGACAUGGUUUUAAACUUAAUCAUCCACAUACAAUCCUUAAACAUAAACAUAAUAAAAAUUCAGAAUUGCAAAUUAAAGCGGAAAGUAAAGAGUUCAGCAAUUAAAAGAAACCUGAUGAAUAAUAAUAAUUGGAUUAAACUUCGGAGGAUUCUUCGAGUACAAAUAACAAUUGGAAAACUACAACUAUGUCGGCACGCUUGAUCCAAGCAACUUGUAAAUGUAAAAGCAAAGGUGCAAUAGCUUCCCGAUGUGGAAGAACUAUCACUUUUAGAGUGUUUCUACUUAAAACUAAGAAUCAAAUUACACGAUGAAAACUUGGAUGCAUUUUUAUUCUAAUUUAGCCUUUUUUAUAUUGGUGAAGUAGGGCUGAACUUCCCUAAAUUCGUGUGGAAGUGGUGGAGAGGAAAUAGGGAGGGUUCUUGACCAUGUUUUAUGCAGUUCCUGAAAAACAGCACUGCGUGUCUGUGGCGAACGCCACAAGGCCAUGGCGAACACCAUGGUACUUAAACUCUGAAGUGAUGUGGCAAGGGGCGUGGCGAACGGAUCAGUCUCCAAUUCUACUUGUUUUCUGACACUCACUCUACACCUUUUCACGAAGUCGGUAACACAUUAGUCUACCUGUUUUAUCGUUCUGUUUAGUAAAUUAGAUGUUUUGCAUUGUUAUUUCAAGUUGUUGAUUAUAUUUGGUUUGCAUCAUUAUACUCCAUUUUUACCUUUUCACGAAGUCGGUAACACAUUAGUCUACCUGUUUUAUCGUUCUGUUUAGUAAAUUAGAUGUUUUGCAUUGUUAUUUCAAGUUGUUGAUUAUAUUUGGUUUGCAUCAUUAUACUCCAUUUUACAUCUCUUUGUGGUAGUUUUACUAGUUUCAGGUGUAAGCAAGAACACCAGAGGGAUAUCCAAGCGAAUUGGACAUUUCGGGCCCAUCGGAAGAGGAAAUUAGAUAACACAGUAGUCCUGACACGGCCACCCAUGUUUCCCAACACAGCCCGUGUCAGGAGGUGAAAGCCAUAAGAAGAAAACAGGGAGCUGGCACGGGUGCCCGCGUCAGCCUCCCUAGAGGGGCAUGUCAAGGCCAAUAUACCAGACAACCAACACGGUCUGACAUGGCUAGUGUUGGCUUGGACACCUCAUUUUCUAGUUUUUGCUAUAUUUUGGCACGGCUGAUCCCGAGAGGCAUUAUGGACUUUUGCUACAUCAAAUUAGUGAUCAGGAACUAUUUAGGGGAUUUUUUGAAUAUGGAGAAGGGGACUUUUGACGAUUACUGAUUGGAGACGAUAAAGAUUGAAGCGGUCAAAAACGACGAAGAACGAAGAUUCUUCAAGAGCGGAUGCAAUUGAAGAUCAAUGAAAUUCCCAUACUUUUGUAAUGUCUCGUUUUUAUGUAUCUUAUUUGAAUAAUAUGAGAGGUUAAACCCCCCCAAUGCCCGAGGGGGGGGGGGUGGGUUCCUUGAACUGAUCGUGUAAUGACUCGAAAGUUAUAAUUUCCUUAAUAUAUGAUGUUUGUUGUUAAUUUCACUAUGCAAUUUUGGGGGGGUGGGUUCCUUGAACUGAUCGUGUAAUGACUCGAAAGUUAUAAUUUCCUUAAUAUAUGAUGUUUGUUGUUAAUUUCACUAUGCAAUUUGCAUAAUGUUUUCUUUAUCAGAAAAAUCAAGAUUGUUGUAUGGUUAACAAUUAGCAGGAUUGCAAUUGUUAAGGUUUUUAUACAGUGAAGCCAUAGUAGAUAUCACCUAGGACUAGGGAUACCCUAUGGAUACCGGUUUAUUCUUGUUAAAUUGGAAUUACUUGGUUUCAUAAUAAUCGCCUAAUGACUUAGAGAUUAGAUUGAAUGACCAAAGGUUUCCCUCUGAGGUCUUAGGGGGAAACACUCUUAAGAUCCGGUAAUUGGAACAAUUUUCAUUAUUAAGGAGAUAUACACUCAAGGGUCAUUACAGGAGAUUUUUAUACACCAUCCUUGGCAUAUUAUUAUAAACUGUGAAAAGAUUUAUCCUAUUUUACUUUCUCUUACAGUGAAUUUUUUACAAAACCCCAACUAUUAGUUUUGUUCAAUUGAGUAACAAUUUACACGUAUAUUGUUGCGCAAUCCUCGAGGUCGAUCUUUGGGAAACAUCUAUAUUAUUACUACAUCGGCAAAAUAGUACACUUGCUAUUUUCCUGAUCAAGUUUUUGGCGCCGCUGCCGGGGAUUGCCAAAUAUAAGUUUAAAUUAUCUCAAUUGAAAUUUUGUUGCUCUGCAAAUAAAAUUUAUUUUUCGUUAUUUUAAUAAUUUAUUUCGAUUAUAUCAACUAAUCUCUGUCUGAUAUUUGUAUGCGAGGUAAGCCCUCAGCUGAUUUUCCUUUUGACGCAGAAAUCGAGAGAACCUUUCGGGCAAGACUCAGACAAGCUCGAUUGGUUAGAUUAGAAUCAGACGAAGAACAACUUUCCAUUCAUUCAGGUUCUGAGAGAGAGAUCGAAACUAUGGCUGAUGUUCCACCGCCACCAGAAAGACUGUUGGGUGACUACGGAGGUGAAAAUGCACCAAUCGGCAGAUUAACUAUUGGAAACUAACCAGUGAAUGUGGCUAAUUUCUAGUUGCAUCCGAGUACUAUUAAUCAACUUGAAAGGAAGCAUUUUACUGGAAAAGUAAAUGAAGAUACAAACAAGCAUUUGUAGAGGUUUCUGACCAUGAGCAACACUCUAAAAAUUGAUGGUCACACCGAAGAAGCUAAGAAAUUGAGAAUGUUUCCGUUCACCUUAGCGAAAGAAGCCGAAGAAUGGUUUUAUUCUCUAUCUGCCGGUAGCAUCACAUUUUGGGAAGAAAUGGAAAAAGCCUUCCUGAAUGAGUAUUUUCCAGCGUCGGUAUUUCUGCGGAAGAGGUAUGAAUUUCUGAAUUUUAAGCAGAAGGACGGGGAAACUUUGGGAGACGCAUACAAGAGAUUUAAGAGAGUCCUGGUCGCCUGCCCAACUCAUAAUAUGGAUCCAACUGAAUAGAUGCAGAUGUUUUUGAAUGGUCUCAAAAUAAAUACCAAACAGCUGAUUGAUACCGCAACCGGUGGCUCCACUAAUAUUUUAACAACCACCAGUAUCAAGAAGAUCAUUGAAGUUAUUGUUGCUAAUGAGCACUUGGAGUUGUACGAUAGAUGUCAAAGCAAACUAGAAGGGGUUAUAGAUUUAAAGCUGGAAAAUAAUAAAAUUUGUAUUGAAGAUACUCUAGCUGCUGAAGUUGAGAAGAAUCUGAAGGCGAUGAAUAUGGGUACCCAACAGGUGGCACAGGUCCAACCGGCUCCUACCGUCUGUUGUAAAAUUUGUAACGGCCCGCACCAAACUGUAUAUUGUUUUGUAACUCCUAAACAAGUGGAGGAAAUCAAAUUUUUGAAGCAGAAUAAUCCUUAUUCCAACACGUACAAUCCGGGUUGGAAGAAUCAUCCCAACUUCUCAUGGAAAGACCAAAAAGGAACCGCUCCUCAACAUGGUCAGUACAAAAAUUAAUAUCAACAACAGCAGCAACAACAAGCCCCUAAGAAAGCUGAUUGGGAAAUUGCAAUUGAAAGAAUGACAACUCAUAAUGUUCAAUUUCAAGAAGAAACCCGGAACAAUCAGAAAAACACCACAACAUCCAUAAAGAAUCUUGAAGUCCAAAUGGGUCAAACCGCUCAACAAUUAGCUUCGAGUUCUCAAGCACAAGAUGCUCUACCUAGUGCAACUGUGACAAAUCCUAGAGAGCAUAAUAAUGUGAGCGUUGUGAUAACAAGAAGUGGUAAAUCUGAUGAAGUAGUCGAGGAGGUGGAUGAAGAGGAAGAUCAAUUGAUCGAAGUGGAUCUUGAGAUCAAAGAAAAUGAAGUUGUGAGGGAAGAAGUGGUAGCAUCGAAACCAGUUAUGAAAGAAACAGUCAUUGAGCCUAAGCCGGUUGUUAAGCUCCCUUUUCCCAAUAGAAACAAGAAAAAGGGACAACAUGAGAAAAACUUUGAAAAAUUCUUAGAGUUGUUCAAAAAGUUGGAGAUAAACAUUCCCCUAUUGGAGGCACUUGAACAAAUGCCUACUUAUGCAAAGUUCAUGAAGGACAUCAUUUCGAAGAGGCAUACCGCCGACACCAACUUGAUUAUUCUAACUGAAACUUGUAGUGCUAUUUUCCAGGGUAUGAAGAUUCCGAUAAAGAAGAAAAAUCGAGGAGUUGUCACCAUCCAUUGUACUAUUGGAGAUAGGUCAUUCAACAAAGCUCUUAUUGAUUUUGGAGCUAGUGUGAGUCUCAUGCCAUUAUCCAUUUACAAGAAGCUUGGUAUAGGGGUUGUGCAAGAUACCAGGAUGACACUCCAAUUCCCCGAUCAUUCGGUAAAGAAACUGUAUGGUAUUGUUGAAGAUGUUCGGGUGAAAAUUGACAAGUUUGUAUUUCCGGUGGAUUUUGUAAUUCUUGAAAUGCCGGAAGAUGAAGAGAUCCCUCUCAUUUUUGGGAGACCCUUUUUAGAAACGGAAAGGUGCUUGAUCAACAUAGAAGAAGGGACCAUGACAUUGAAGGUUUAUGAUGAGGAAUUGAAAAUCGAUGUUCGAAACACCAUGAGGUACAAGGAUGAUAUUUGUACUAGUCAUACUAUAGAGGUUCUGGAUCAGGUGAUGACAUAUGAUAGUCCUUUGUAUGCACCACAGUCACCUUUGGAAAAAGUGUUGAGUUUGUCUAUUUUCGAUAGUGAUAAAGAAGUGGACAACGGGGAAUCUGAAGUGCUAGCCUUGUUAGACGCACAACCUCCGUGGAAAGGAUCUCGACCACACCAGUGGGAGGAUUUACGCCUACCUCAAUCUAGUGAGGAGGAUGAAGAGACAAAGAAGGGAACGGAGUUGAAACAACUUCCUGAGAAUCUUAAAUAUGUCUUUCUCGAUUCUGAAGGAAAAUGUCCUGCUAUCAUAAACUCGAGCCUAAAGAAUAUUCAAGAAGAAAGGCUCAUCCAAGUCCUAAAAAAAUACAAAAAUUAUGUUGGAUGGGCAAUUGAAGAUUUUAAAGGUAUUAGCCCUACUGUGUGCAUCCAUAAAAUUAUCAUGGAAGAAGACCACAAACCGGUAGUCCAACCGCAGAGAAGACUUAAUCCGGCAAUGAAGGAGGUAGUUCGGAAAGAGGUGGUGAAAUUGUUAGAUGCAUGCCUUAUAUAUCCUAUUUCUGACAGUCCCUGGGUGAGCCCAAUGCAUGUUGUCCCUAAGAAAUGGGGGACCACAGUAAUAAGGAAUGAAAAAAAUGAGUUAAUUCCUACUCGAACAAUCACCGGGUGGCGUGUUUGCGUUGACUACAAAAGGUUGAACAUAGAAACUAGAAAGGACGACUUCCCAUUGCCAUUUAUUGACCAGAUGUUGGAAAGGUUAGCCGGACACGAUUACUAUUGUUUUCUAGAUGGAUACUCCGGGUAUAAUCAGAUUGCAGUCGCUCCAGAAGACCAAGAAAAGACAUCAUUCACAUGCCCGUAUGGUGUAUUUGCAUACCGAAGAAUGUCAUUCGGGUUGUGUAAUGCUUCAACAACCUUCCAAUGAUGCAUGAAUUCCAUUUUCUCCGACAUGCUCGAAAAGCAUAUGGAAGUCUUCAUGGAUGACUUCUCGGUCUUUGGAUCCUCAUUUGAUAACUGUUUAACUAAUCUCUCUCUUGUUUUAGACAGGUGCCAAAAAACAAAUUUAAUUAUGAACUGGGAGAAAUGUCACUUCAUGGUGCGAGAAGGGAUAUUAUUGGGUCACAAAAUUUCCUACAAGGGAAUUGAAGUUGACCAAGCAAAAGAGGAAGUGAUAUUGUAGCGGUAAAUUCAUGAUCAUCAAGCUAUGGAUAAGCAAGACAUCAAAUAACAAGAGUCACCACCGCACUUUUAUUGUUUCCAAGGGAAAAGGGAAAAGUACGAACAAAACCCAAAAAUAAGAAGUUUUCAAAUCAAAACUAAUAAAAUACCAGAGAUUACAGGUAAGGGGGUUGGUUACACAGAGGGAAGGUGUUAGUACCCAAAGUGUCCUAGGUACUCCUAGGGAGCCCUUUCUUGUGUGCAUAUGUACUUUGUACAAAAUGAUGUUUACAAACAAAUAGAAUGGGGGGAUGAGAAAAGAAUUCAUUAAUCAUAUUUUUGUGUUUGACAAGACCUUCGGACUUGUGCCUACGUACCAACAUAAAAAUGAGGGAUCAAAACCUCAUAGUUCGUGAUAUCAAUUUCAAAGUGAGCGAAUUGCUUUUAACAAAAAUUUAAGUUUAAAAGGCACAAGGGCCUAGAAAAUGGUUUGAAUGAGUUAGUUCUUUUUGGAUUUUGAAAAUUUUAAGUCAAGUAUAGUUAAGUUUAUUUACAAGUUUGAUUUAAGAAAAUAAGUUUUUAAAAAAUGCAAUGGCAUAAGGCCAAAGUUUGUAAUUUGCAAAGGGUCUAUGUUUUAAAAAAAAGACAAGUACAAACAAAGAAGUGUUUUUCAAAGGAGGGAGAGAUUUUGAAAUUAAAGAGACGGGGAGGAGAUGAAGAGACUAAUCCUAAGCAUAAAUUUAAAAGUUAAGAGUUGAAAAGAUCUAACCAAUGGGCUGCAAUCCAAUAGACAAGAAUGUCAUAUAGAAACCCCAAAUUCCCUUGGACAUUAGAAUCAAGCAACAAACAAUGAAUACCAUAUUAACUUGAAGAGCAAAGCAUCAAAUGAAGAUAGCCACAUCCAGACUUUAGCCACUCCAUGAUCUUAUUCAAAUUUGCCCAUGUAACAGAUGAAUUCCAUAAGUCAUAGGUUCAAAGUAACAACUUCACAAUGAUCAUGUUGCAGAUGAACUCAAAGGGAUCUUCAAUGAUGUAUCAGAUGAAGUUUCAAAUUACAAGCACUUGGUUACAUGAAAGUUGGCAUUGGCCAAGUCCUUUGCAUAGGGAGUCUUGCCUAAAUUCUAAGUCCAAUUGUCUCAGAUCAAACCAACAGUCCACACAAGAAUUUUUUAGGGUUUUUGUUCUUAUUAUGUACAUUAAUGGUCAAAGACCACACAAGCAAACACAAUAUACACAAGCAAAAUAUAUCACAAAAUAUGGUCCAAAUGGACAAAGUGAAAAUGACAUUAACAUAAACAAUUAGGAUGGUAUGAAUAAUGGCAAAUGAACAAAGCUUAAAAAUAAAGUGCAUUAAAAGUAAAGGACUUGAAAUUAAAUGUUAGUUGUUAAUGAGUUAGAAGUUAGUAUUGCUUUUUCUUUUUUUGUUUAAGUCAUUCUUUGGAGAAUACUCAACCCGCUUAUCACAAGCAUGGAUCCUUCAACCAAGACGACUUCCAAAGGAAGGAAAAAAGGCCAAGUUUCCACAUAAUACCAUGAAAGAGGGGAGACUUACAAUCUCACUAACUAGAAUAUUAUGCCUUUUUGUAUCAAAAAUUUAGUGCUAUGUUAAGCAAUCGUAAUUGGACUUAUGUAGAAGUCACAACUAUUUGAGGUCGGAUAAUAGAAUUUUGGUGUUAAUGCAUGUUAGAGACAUAUUAUAAUGGACUAUGCUCAUGAAACAUACCACACACAAAAAGAAUAUGCAAAAGAGGUGGCCUAAUCUCAUCCAUACUUAUGUUGAUUUUUAAUCAACCAGCCUUAGGACCUUGAGAUAUCAUAGGACCAUGGUAUGAAUGCAUAAAGAAGGGGAAUAAGAUGAAGAGGGAGGGUAAUGGAUCAAAACUCAAAUUGGACAAAGGAGGAUUUUUACCAAAUUAAGAUCAUUCAUUCAUUUUGGGAGAUGGAAUGUACAUUCCAUCAAUCCCCUAAAUCCAAUGAUCUUAACCUAGCAAAGUCAAAUAAACCUUGACCUAGGCUCAACAACACAAGUCAAACUUAUACAAAUAAUCAAAAUGGCUUAACACAAUUAUUUGGCAUUUAUUCAAUUUAAAAAUUCUAAAAAUAAUGCAUUAAAUAAAAUAUGGUUUGUCAAAUUCCUAAAACCUCAUCAAAACACCAAGGAAAUGGCCAUGAGAUUUAUCAUAGGUCAAACAAAGUCAAAGGACCUUGGAGAAAAAAUUCAGAAUUUUUGGAGACUUAAAAGUAUUUUUCAACAAUUAAAAAUAUUCACAAAAUCAACUAAAUCAUGAAAAAUAUUAAUAAUGAUCCAAAAAAUAAUUUUAAUUCAAAAUAUGAAAGAGGAUUUUAUUUAAUUUUUUUUUGGUGAAACUCUCAUAUUUUUUGGAUCAAUAUUAAAACUAAUAUGAAUUAAUGAAAAUAAAACAAAUUAAAUGAAAUUCAAAUAAUCAGAAAAAAACGUGGACCACUUGAUCUCCCUUACCAAUUGAGGUGGGAGAUCAAGUGGUCUAAAACGCGCAUUCCACCAAACACACGAGUCAACGCGCCACACCAAUGGUAUUCAAAAGCAACGCUCAAGAUUAAAACGAUUUGAACUGAUCAUGUGGCUCAGAACCUAUCCAGCACACCACCGAUGCUGAAACUCCGGUCACCUUCUCAGGCGAGGCUCACCGGACUGGUUCAGUCAUCACCAUCACAUAAAUGAAAAAGGAGGACAUGAUCUGAAAGAAAAAAAGGCGUAGAGCACGAAUCUGACCUCAAUUUUAACUAACUCCACAUAUAUAGAAAGAUAUGAGGAAUUGAAUUUUGAGGUGUGUCAACUGAGUUGCUUCGAUUUGACCUCAAAGUAACUCAAUCUUCUUGCCUACAUUGGUAGGACUUCAGACUACCAAAGAUCCAAGAGAAUUGAUGAGAAUUGAGUGAGAAUCGAAGAGAAGAAAAUUUCUGAAAAAUACCUUCAAUGAUGUGCAGAACUGGAUCUUGCUUGCUUCAAACUUUGCUUGAUCACCUUCAGGAAGCUUGUAGAAGUGGCUUGGCAAUGGAACAAAGCUUUGGAUCCUGGAGUUUUUGAAUCUCCAAACAGUGAGAUUCUUGCUUGCUUCAAACUUUGCUUGAUCACCUUCAGGAAGCUUGUAGAAGUGGCUUGGCAAUGGAACAAAGCUUUGGAUCCUGGAGUUUUUGAAUCUCCAAACAGUGAGAUUCAAACUCAAUUUUUAGAUCGAAAAUUCUCAAGUUUUCCUUUGAAUUGUGAGGGUUUGAAAAGAGGGGGCAAAGCUGGCGCGCAAGGGAUCCUUCAAAUGAGCUCAGAGGCGUUGUAUUUAUAGCAUGAAGGAGUGAUAUUUGCACACUUCAAGUUUCCAAUUUUGGAAAUUGCAUGAUGCAAGCUUGCAUAGGCGUGUACAGGCCUAUGAAGCAAUCCAUUUAGGUUCAAAUUCAACUGUUUUGAAGUCUCAAAGAAGCUUGAAUAGCAAGACAAUGUGAAAUGGUGUUUUGGACAUUUGAUCUUUCCACUUGAUGCAGACCUGUUAAGAUCAUGUGCAGCCCUAGCAACCUCAUCCAAAAUGCAUGAAAUAGGACUAUUUGGAAAACUUAGAUCAAGGGGAACAACUUUGAUGUUGGACACUUUUCCAUUUGGAACUUGGAUCAAGGUGAAUUUUGAGGUGGAAGUUUGGAAAUUUCAACAUGUUGAAAUUUUUUUGAAGUGUCAAGUCAUAUACCUCAAUGUUCCAUCUUACUUAACUUUUCAUGUGAGCUCCAAAUUAAAAGCAUGUCUUCAUCAAAGUUUCAGGUCUUUCAAAGACCUUAAAAAUGGUCACCAAUUUCAUGUCAUUUGGAAAAUCACUUGUUCAAUGGUAUAGGGAAAAAAUGACCUAUAAUGUAUCCUCAUAUCAUAUGCUCAUAAAAGUUGAAUUAGCUCUCACUCCAAACAUAAAAGUUGAAUUAGCUCUCACUCCAAACAUAAAGUUGAAUUAGACAUCUUGAAUUUGAUUGUGCAACUUGGAAAUCUUUCAUAUCAUAAAAAUUGAGCAAGUUAUUACCUUGGGAAGUUGACUUUCAAAUUCGGGUUUAGACAAAAUGACUUAUAAUCUUUCUACAUAGAAAAUGAUUUUACAAGCAAAACUAGAUCUAGGUCUCAACAUGAAAGUUGUUUGUAAUGUCAUUCAGAGUAACUUUGCGCUUGGAAGAAUUUUCAUAUGGUGAAAAUUAUAGGAGAUAAUGUCAUUUAGAGUAACUUUGCUCUUUGCGUUUGUAAUGGUCUUACUCUAUAUCUGAAAAAUCCAUCCAUAAACGAAAAAACUUUGAAUUUAGCAGUAUUGUCUACCAACAUAUCAAUGUGUGGCAGAGGGAAAUCAUCUUUCGGGCUGACUUUAUUCAAACCUCUAUAAUCAACAAACAUGCGGACUUUUCCAUCUUUCUUUGGCACAUGCACAAUGUUGGCCACCCAUUGCGGAUACUCAGUGUUCACAAGGAAACCGACAUCAAUCUGCUUUUGCACUUCUUCUUUGACCUUCACUGCUAUGUCAGGAUGCAUUCUUCUCAACUUCUGCUCGACUGGCGGACAUUCUGGCUUCAACGACAAUCUAUGCUCCACAAUCUCAGAAUCCAAACCAGGCAUGUCUUGAUAGGACCAAGCAAACACAUCCGAGUACUCUCGAAGAAGAUCAACCAACCCCUUCUUCGCAUCUGGACACAGUCGAGACCCAAUAUUGACUUCCUUCACAUCAUCCUCGGAACCCAAGUUGACUAACUCAAUCUGCUCUUCGAAUGGCCGAAUGGCUUUUCCUUCAUGCUCAAGAAGACGAGACAAUUCAUCACUCACUUCUUCAUCACUUUCCUCCUCGGCCUCAAACACAGGGAAUUCAAAAUUUGGAGAAGGAGAAGGAUCAUUGUACUCAAUGAGGUUAGGAACCAACCUGCAUAAUGAUUUGAUAUUUUGAUUUUAGAGAAGUGAAUUUGUGACCAAACAUUAUGCAGAUGGACAAUUAUAUUGUUUAUUUAUGUUUUUUGUUAUUACCAUUUUCAGAAUAAAGCAAAAAGUAAAAAUAAAACAUCAUAGAUGUGAUUGAAUAGAAUUGAUUUUAUUGAUGAUCAAAUUUGAAAUGCCUAACAAUGUUCACUUACCCCUUAGACAUAGGAGAAGGAUUUUUAAAACAAAUAAAAACAAUUACUUAGAUCGAUGCAAACUAACAGGAAUAUCAACAACAAUCCAAUUGUUGCAAGCCUUUCCAUGCGUCACAAAAUUGGUGCAGUCAUCUUCAUCGUCAUCCUCUAGCACUGCAGCUAAGUGUUGUUCAUUUCCAUGAAUGAACCCUCCGCUACGGAAGCUAAGUUGCAUAUCCUCUGAUCUAGCAGUUGAUGGACCUUGUAGAAAACCCAUACCGAUUCUGCUCUUGUUGUCGGAGACCUCUACCAUGCGCCCCCCACUGAUCCACAUUACCUUCUUCAACAAUCUUCCUUGCAUCUUUCAAUGAGGACAUAGGUGCCCGAACUCUCUUUUCAACAGCAAUAGAUAAGGCUUGGAACAGAGUUCCAACCUCAUCCUCAGCUUCAACGUAAGAGAAAGAUGACAAGUGGCUAACCAACAACGCCUUUUCCACGCCAACAAUAAUAAGCUUCCCAUUUUUGACAAAUUUGAGUUUCUGAUCCAACGUGGAAGUAACAACUCCUGCCUCAUGAAUCCAUGGCCUUCCCAAUAGACAACUGUAGGUCGGGUGGAUAUCCAUUACUUGAAAAGUAAUCUGGAAGUCACUCGGGCCUAUCUUCACCGAAAGGUCCACUUCACCUAUCAUUGUCUUGCGUGAACCGUUAAAAGCUUUGACGGUUACACCACUAUACCUCAUAGGAGCUCCUUGAUAUGACAGCUUUGAAAGAGUUAACUUUGGCAGCACAUUCAAUGAAGACUUGGUGUCAACUAAUACAUUGGAUAAAGCGUCAUCUUUGCAAUUCAUGGAGAUAUGCAAAGCCAAGUUAUGAUUACUACCCUCCUCAGGGAGUUCUUCAUCAUAGAAGUUGAGAUUUUUGCAGGAAGUGAUGUUAGCUACAAUAUGAUCAAACUGAUCCACCGUAACAUCAUGUUCCAUGAAAGCUUGCUUUAGAACUCUUUGUAGUACUUCUCUGUGCGCUUCUGAAUUCAUAAGCAGAGACAAUACUGAAAUCUUUGAGGGGGUUUGGAGCAACUGCUCCAUCAUGUUGAACUCACUUUUCUUUAUCAGCCUAAGUACCUCAUCAUCAUCAUUAGUUUUCAAAUUGAUGGAUUCACCAGACUGACGCUUUAAAGUGCUAAUCAGAUCUACUUUAGGUACUUCCACCUUCUUACCAAUUGUUGAAUCUUCUACAUCUUUUGGGAACACCGACCCAAACACUCGACCGCUACGGGUCACCUUAGUAACAUCAACAAUACUCACGACAAAACUGGUUGUAGGUAACGGUACCUCUUGACCAUCCUUCAACAUAGUUGCAUUAUACUGAUACGGAACAGCCUUAUCGGAUGAAUACGGGACUGGGCCCAUUAACCGUAUGACCAACGGCGAUACCGAUCUUUGACUGAUAUUAUUACUGUUACUGCUGUCAUACUGAAUCACCAUUCUCUCGGGAUUCUUAAACACUGGAACGAUCACAUUCACAUCAUCAUCUUCAUGACGGGAUUGAACAAUCUGAACCAUACCCUCAUCCAUCAACCGCUGGAUGUCUCUUUUCACAAUCAUACAACCCCUCGGGUUGAAACUGCAGAUAGCACAACCAUCAUGGUCACGCUCACAAUCGCUUACCAUAGAAAUGUGCUUAUAUAUUGUUACUAAAGAUCUUCUAAUGAAAUGGACAUCAAACAUUUUGAACUCCCCAGAACAGUCGUCUACCAUAUUGAAGCAAGCAGAAAUAUACCCGAACGUAUUGCACCCUCGAACAUACAACAGAGUCGCCAUCGAACUUUAUUUAUCCCCAAAGGGAAGGGAAACAUCGAAAAAACCCGGGGGAAAGAGAUAUACUGGGUAAGGAAGUCGGUUAUGCAAGGAGAAGGUAUUAGCACCCCAAACAUCCAUGGUACUCCAUGGGAACCUUUUUGAUUGUUCUUGCUCAAAUAGGUGUGAUAUCUAAAGAUUACUCGCAAAAGAAUAAGGGGAAAGGAAAGGAAAUAGAUAGAGUGCUCGGUGAGGAUUAGGGACCUCAUGCCUACGUAUCCUCAUAAUGCAAUAAGGAAUUCAGAGCUUCGUAGUUCAAGGAACUAGAGGAAGGAGGUGAAAAGGAGUGUGAUCAAGGUAUGGUUUGAGCCAAAGGAUAAUUUUGUUUGAACUCCAAGAGAGGGUGAAAACGUGAACCCAAGAGUAAACAAGUUGUUUGAACCAACAAGUGAGGGUGUAGAGCACUUAUAUCACUAUAUUGGAACAACCGAAAAGAGAGGAAUUAGGUGUUUGGGGUGAGAGCCAAACAACUCUUGGUUCACAAGGAGGUACAAGAUGGAGCACAAAAGUAUAUUGUAUUUGGCUCAAAGAAUAGGUAUAUCACGUGGAGUGAAAGAAGGUAGUAUAUGAAUGUAUCAUGGGAUGAACGAAAUGAAGUGACCGAAGUCAUAGAAUAGAGUAUCUGGUAACAAGUGAUGAAGAAAUAUUGUUUGAAAUCAAAAGGUGAAAAUGUAUUGGAAUCCAUAAGAGAAGUGAGAUUUCUACCAUAGAUGGAAACAUCAUUAACCGAUACGUGGACUAGCAGGCCGCCACUGUAAGGUUUUGGCCAAAAAGAAGGAAUUAAAUGUUUGGGAUGGGAGCCAAACAACUCUAGGUAUGAAAUUAAGACUAUUCAUUAGGCGUCCUAAAAGGGUAUGUGUGGAAUUCCAAGGAAAGUGUAUUUCGAUGUCAAAGAGACAGUAUGUCACUGGGCGAACGGUUCAUGAUCGAAGGUAGAUAAUGAAUAGUGAAAGAUAUGAGUGGUGCCCUAAGGCGGAAGAGGAAUAAUUAGAAGUAUUCUCGCAGAGGAUUCGCAUCCUCGUGCCUACGUAUUCUUAUUGUGAAAUGAGAAAAUCAGAGCAAUCGUAGUUCGAAACUACGAGAAUAGAGAGAAAGAGAUGUUUGUCUAAGCAACAGGGACUCACAAGAAAA
rnacentral:lncRNA from 1 species